UACAGAGGGGGCAAGCGUUAUUCGGAAUUAUUGGGCGUAAAGGGCGCGUAGGCGGCUUUGCAAGUGACGGGUGAAAGCCCUCGGCUUAACCGAGGAACUGCCUGUCAGACUGUAAGGCUUGAGACCGGGAGAGGUGAGUGGAAUUCCCAGUGUAGCGGUGAAAUGCGUAGAUAUCUGGAGGAACACCGGUGGCGAAGGCGGCAUCCUGGACCAACACUGACGCUGAGGAGCGAAAGCCAGGGGAGCAAACGGG
rnacentral:rRNA from 1 species